GGCCUUGUGGUGUAGUGGUAACAUGUCCUCUGUUGAUUGUUCCGCCGUCUUCGUCUUCGAGGAAGUCUCUUGUUCGAAUCAAUGUGAGGUCA